AGGAAAACACGGGAACCAAGACGUCUCUGUUUCUCCAAAGCUGGAACAGCAUUUUACCCAGCCUCAUCCACAGCGAGCCACCCUGGGCCUCCACACUCAGCAGCACAGAAUUGAUUAUCUUUUUGUGCCACAGAGAUCUACUGGGCACCUACUGUGUGCUGGGCUCUGCACUGGAUGUAAACAAACCUUCAGCUGGUGUGUAUUUUCCUCACAGCUAUGCCAUCACUUGGGGCUGACCAGGUGUAUGAGAGAGAUGCCAGACCUGGGUUCGGAUUCCGUUCUAUUUUUUACCCUGUGCAAACGCAGGCACUCCAGCUAACGUCUGUGAGCUGAAGUUCCCUCAUCAGUGAAAUGGAGGUGAUGAAAUCUGCUCUGAAGCCUUCAGAGAUGAAAUGAGCUGAUUUUAGGGGCUCAGCCUGGAUCAUAGUACGUGCUCAACAAACCGUCUGUGAGACUGUUAUUAUCUAGGACACAAUUAUCUAUUAAAUAAGUGGUUCCUUGGACACAGGACACAGAGAAGAGGUCCUGCUCCCAGAUGUUUCUCUGACUUAAACAGCUCAGAGCCAUGUGUGUGUUGAGAGGCAACGACAUCUCUGUGGAAGACCUGACCAGGAGAGCAGACAGCUCACUUCUCCAUUGCUCCGUGGCCUGCCAAUCACCGAUGCGCCUUUCUCUGCUGCACCAAGAUCUGGUGACCGUGAGGGGAACAUGAAGCCUCUCUCUGCCUUGCUUCCACAUAAAUAAUUCAGCGAUACUAACAGUCUCUAUCGCACAGCGCUAUUAUGAGAUUAGAUAUAUAAGAUAUAGAGUUGUGCUGGCUCUGAAAUGUACCGUGUAGCCCAGGCUGCCUCUGAAAGGCGCUGUGUAGCCCAAGGCUGGCCCUGAACACAUGGCAGUCCUCCUGCCUCAGCCUCCUGAGUGCUGGGAUCAUAGACACAAGUGAUUAUGUCCAUAUAAUGCUUGAAAAAUAUAUGGUCUUAUUAUUUUUAACU
ensembl:antisense Fhad1os1 forkhead-associated (FHA) phosphopeptide binding domain 1, opposite strand 1